UACGUAGGGUGCAAGCGUUAUCCGGAUUCACUGGGUUUAAAGGGAGCGUAGGUGGGUUGGUAAGUCAGUGGUGAAAUCCCCGAGCUUAACUUGGGAACUGCCAUUGAUACUAUCAGUCUUGAAUACUGUGGAGGUUAGCGGAAUAUGUCAUGUAGCGGUGAAAUGCUUAGAUAUGACAUAGUACACCAAUUGCGAAGGCAGCUGGCUACACAAUUAUUGACACUGAGGCUCGAAAGCGUGGGGAUCAAACAGG
rnacentral:rRNA from 1 species